UGGGGAAUAUUGCACAAUGGGCGCAAGCCUGAUGCAGCCAUGCCGCGUGUGUGAAGAAGGCCUUCGGGUUGUAAAGCACUUUCAGCGAGGAGGAAGGUGGUGGACUUAAUACGUUCAUCAAUUGACGUUACUCGCAGAAGAAGCACCGGCUAACUCCGUGCCAGCAGCCACGGUAAUACGGAGGGUGCAAGCGUUAAUCGGAAUUACUGGGCGUAAAAGCGCACGCAGGCGGUUUGUUAAGUCAGAUGUGAAAUCCCCGGGCUCAACCUGGGAACUGCAUUUGAAACUGGCAAGCUAGAGUCUCGUAGAGGGGGGUAGAAUUCCAGGUGUAGCGGUGAAAUGCGUAGAGAUCUGGAGGAAUACCGGUGGCGAAGGCGGCCCCCCUGGACGAAGACUGACGCUCAGGUGCGAAAGCGUGGGGAGCAAACAGGAUUAGAUACCCUGGUAGUCCACGCUGUAAACGAUGUCGAUUUGGAGGUUGUGCCCUUGAGGCGUGGCUUCCGGAGCUAACGCGUUAAAUCGACCGCCUGGGGAGUACGGCCGCAAGGUUAAAACUCAAAGG
rnacentral:rRNA from 1 species